rnacentral:rRNA from 1 species
CAGUAGCCGCGGUAAUACGAAGGGUGCAAGCGUUAAUCGGAUUUACUGGGCGUAAAGCGUGCGUAGGCGGCUUUUUAAGUCGGAUGUGAAAUCCCUGAGCUUAACUUAGGAAUUGCAUUCGAUACUGGGAAGCUAGAGUAUGGGAGAGGAUGGUAGAAUUCCAGGUGGAGCGGUGAAAUGCGUAGAGAUCUGGAGGAAUACCGAUGGCGAAGGCAGCCAUCUGGCCUAAUACUGACGCUGAGGUACGAAAGCAUGGGGAGCAAACAGGAUUAGAGACCCCAGUAGUCCCUGUCUCUUAUAC